rnacentral:tRNA from 1 species
AGUCCGGUGCCGAAUUUUGGUUACGGGGCGUAAUUCCGAUGUGUAGCUUAUAUAGGUUCAAAUCCUAUCCGGCCCG